ACACACAGAAAAAAAUUUAAACAAAAUUGGGAAAACAAUGCAUCAACAAAACAAGAAGUUCAACAAAGAAAUAGAAACCAUCAAAAAAA